rnacentral:snoRNA from 1 species
AUGGAAAUGAGGAUCCUUUCCCCAAAUGAACGACGCUGAUUCGGACUGUGCGACAAGCUCUUCGGAGCCAAGCCAGAAUACUGAUCCGU